rnacentral:rRNA from 1 species
GACGAACGCUGGCGGCGUGCUUAACACAUGCAAGUCGAACGGAAAGGCCCUGCUUGCCGGGUACUCGAGUGUCGAACGGGUGAGUAACACGUGGGUGAUCUGCCCUGCACUUCGGGAUAAGCCUGGGAAACUGGGUCUAAUACCGGAUAGGAGCCAUUUUUAGUGUGAUGGUUGGAAAGUUUUGUCGGUGUAGGAUGAGCUCGCGGCCUAUCAGCUUGUUGGUGGGGUAAUGGCCUACCAAGGCGGCGACGGGUAGCCGGCCUGAGAGGGUGGACGGCCACAUUGGGACUGAGAUACGGCCCAGAAGCCGACGGGAGGCAGCAGUGGGGAAUAUUGCACAAUGGGCGCAAGCCUGAUGCAGCGACGCCGCGUGGGGGAUGACGGCCUUCGGGUUGUAAACUCCUUUCGCUAGGGACGAAGCUUUUUGUGACGGUACCUAGAUAAGAAGCACCGGCUAACUACGUG